rnacentral:rRNA from 1 species
UACGUAGGGUCCGAGCGUUAAUCGGAAUUACUGGGCGUAAAGCGUGCGCAGCGGUUUUGUAAGCCAGAUGUGAAAUCCCCGGGCUUAACCUGGGAACUGCAUUUGUGACUGCAUAGCUAGAGUACGGUAGAGGGGGAUGGAAUUCCGCGUGUAGCAGUGAAAUGCGUAGAUAUGCGGAGGAACACCGAUGGCGAAGGCAAUCCCCUGGACCUGUACUGACGCUCAUGCACGAAAGCGUGGGGAGCAAACAGG